UUUAACUAAAUUAGACUACCAUUUCAUUUUGUUAUAUAUUUUUUUUUUCAUGUAGAAGCUCCACCAACACGUUAUAAUUCUAGACGUAAGUCAGUUUUUGCAGAAACAUACAAUCCAGAAGAAGAUGAAGAAGAAGAGGGACCAAAUGUUGUAUUUCCUAAAUCUGAUGAUCAACGUCAAGCACUUGCAGCUAGUGUUAAAAAUAUAUUCAUAUUCAGGGCCUUGGAUCCUGAACAAAUGAAU